GAUGAAGAACGUAGCGAAAUGCGAUAAGUAAUGUGAAUUACAGAAUUCAGUGAAUCAUCGAAUCUUUGGACGCACAUUGCGCCCACUAGUAUUCUGGUGGGCAUGCCUGUUCGAGCGUCAUUUCAACCCUCAAGCCUCAGUUGCUUGGUGUUGGGAGCUUAUCUUUGCCGAAAGGCGGACAACUCCUUAAAACUAUUGGCGGAGUCGCGGUGACCCCAAGCGUAGUAAAUUUUUUUUCUCGCUUUAGGUAUCAACGCUGGCUUUCUAGCCGUUAAACCCUCUAAAUCUUUAGUGGUUGACCUCGGAUCAGGUAGGACUACCCGCUGAACUUAAGCAUAUCAAUAAGCGGAGGA
rnacentral:misc_RNA from 1 species